GUAUCCAGCUCAACGAC
rnacentral:misc_RNA from 1 species